rnacentral:rRNA from 1 species
GAUGAACGCUAGCUACAGGCUUAACACAUGCAAGUCGAGGGGCAGCAUUUUUCUAGCAAUAGAAGAGAUGGCGACCGGCGCACGGGUGAGUAACACGUAUCCAACCUACCGAUAACUCCGGAAUAGCCUUUCGAAAGAAAGAUUAAUACCGGAUAGUAUACGAAUAUCGCAUGAUAUUUUUAUUAAAGAAUUUCGGUUAUCGAUGGGGAUGCGUUCCAUUAGUUUGUUGGCGGGGUAACGGCCCACCAAGACUACGAUGGAUAGGGGUUCUGAGAGGAAGGUCCCCCACAUUGGAACUGAGACACGGUCCAAACUCCUACGGGAGGCAGCAGUGAGGAAUAUUGGUCAAUGGGCGCAGGCCUGAACCAGCCAAGUAGCGUGAAGGAUGAAGGCUCUAUGGGUCGUAAACUUCUUUUAUAUGGGAAUAAAGUUUUCCACGUGUGGAAUUUUGUAUGUACCAUAUGAAUAAGGAUCGGCUAACUCCGUGCCAGCAGCCGCGGUAAUACGGAGGAUCCGAGCGUUAUCCGGAUUUAUUGGGUUUAAAGGGAGCGUAGGUGGAUUGUUAAGUCAGUUGUGAAAGUUUGCGGCUCAACCGUAAAAUUGCAGUUGAAACUGGCAGUCUUGAGUACAGUAGAGGUGGGCGGAAUUCGUGGUGUAGCGGUGAAAUGCUUAGAUAUCACGAAGAACUCCGAUUGCGAAGGCAGCUCACUAGACUGUCACUGACACUGAUGCUCGAAAGUGUGGGUAUCAAACAGG